rnacentral:rRNA from 1 species
AUUGAACGCUGGCGGCAGGCCUAACACAUGCAAGUCGAGCGAGCGGCGGACGGGUGAGUAAUGUCUGGGAAACUGCCUGAUGGAGGGGGAUAACUACUGGAAACGGUAGCUAAUACCGCAUACCAUCAGAUGUGCCCAGAUGGGAUGAGCUAGUAGGUGGGGUAACGGCUCACCUAGGCGACGAUCCCUAGCUGGUCUGAGAGGAUGACCAGCCACACUGGAACUGAGACACGGUCCAGACUCAUAAGGGAGGCAGCAGUGGGGAAUAGGGAACAAUGGGCGAAAGCCUGAUGCAGCCAGGCCGAGUGUGUGAAGAAGGCCUUCGGGUGGUAAAGCACGUUCAGCGGGGAGGCGUUACCCGCAGAAGAAGCACCGGCUAACUACGUGCCAGCAGCCGCGGUAAUUC